AUGGAACAGGCACAGUUAUUUACACCUAAGAGGAGGGGAGUCCACGGGAUCCACACUGUAACCAGGAUAACACCAUACCUGUCUCAACACCCAGGAGAAACAGCAUGUGCUCUUUACAUGUCAUCAAGCAAGAGGUGAACAACCAGGAAUAAGGAAAGACAAAGUGAUGCUGUUAUCCUUAUGCAGGAGGUUUCAAUGAGAAAGUCAUCAGAGAUUUCUAGACACAGCUUAAGUAUUACCAAAAUCAUCA
rnacentral:lncRNA from 1 species